UACGUAGGGCGCAAGCGUUGUCCGGAAUUAUUGGGCGUAAAGAGCUCGUAGGCGGUCUGUUGCGUCCGCUGUGAAAACCCAGGGCUUAACCUUGGGCUUGCAGUGGAUACGGGCAGACUAGAGGCAGGUAGGGGAGAAUGGAAUUCCCGGUGUAGCGGUGAAAUGCGCAGAUAUCGGGAGGAACACCGGUGGCGAAGGCGGUUCUCUGGGCCUGUACUGACGCUGAGGAGCGAAAGCGUGGGGGAGCGAACAGG
rnacentral:rRNA from 1 species